rnacentral:rRNA from 1 species
UCAGGAUGAACGCUGGCGGCGUGCGUAACACAUGCAAGUCGAACGAAGCAGAAGGAUGCUUGCAUCUUUUUGACUGAGUGGCGGACGGGUGAGUAACGUGUGGAGAACCUACCUUACACAGGGGGAUAACGGCUGGAAACGGCUGCUAAUACCGCAUAAGCAUACAGCUUCGCAUGAAGCCGUGUGAAAAGAAGCAUCGGUGUAAGAUGGCUCCGCAUCUGAUUAGCUAGUUGGUGAGGUAAUGGCUCACCAAGGCAACGAUCAGUAGCCGGCCUGAGAGGGCGACCGGCCACAUUGGGACUGAGACACGGCCCAGACUCCUACGGGAGGCAGCAGUGGGGAAUCUUGCACAAUGGGGGAAACCCUGAUGCAGCAACGCCGCGUGAGCGAAGAAGUAUUUCGGUAUGUAAAGCUCUAUCAGCAGGGAAUAGAAAAGAAGGUACCUGACUAAGAAGCCCCGGCUAACUACGUGCCAGCAGCCGCGGUAAUACGUAGGGGGCAAGCGUUAUCCGGAUUUACUGGGUGUAAAGGGAGCGUAGACGGCUGUUUAAGUCAGAAGUGAAAGCCCAUUGCUUAACGAUGGGACUGCUUUUGAAACUAAGGAGCUAGAGUGCAGGAGAGGUAAGUGGAAUUCCUAGUGUAGCGGUGAAAUGCGUAGAGAUUAGGAGGAACACCAGUGGCGAAGGCGGCUUACUGGACUGUAACUGACGUUGAGGCUCGAAAGCGUGGGGGGCAAACAGGAUUAGAUACCCUGGUAGUCCACGCGGU